UACGUAGGGGGCUAGCGUUGUCCGGAAUCAUUGGGCGUAAAGAGCGUGUAGGCGGUCCGGUAAGUCCGCUGUGAAAGUCGGGGGCUCAACCCUCGAAUGCCGGUGGAUACUGUCGGGCUAGAGUGCGGAAGAGGCGAGUGGAAUUCCUGGUGUAGCGGUGAAAUGCGUAGAGAUCGGGAGGAACACCAGAGGCGAAGGCGGCGACCUGGACAGGUACUGACACUCAACUACGAAAGCGUGGGGAGCAAACAGG
rnacentral:rRNA from 1 species